CUGCACACCUGCCUCGGCCCCCGCCUUUCUAGGGAUCAGAGCCCAGUUUUGAAUGCUGGAAGUCCAAAAUUAAGGUGUCAUUGAACUUGGUUCCUGCUGAAGACUUCUGAGGAAGGAACUGUUCCAUGCCUCUCUCCUAGCUUCUGAUGCUUGCCAGUGGUCUGCAGUGUUCUCUGUGUUCAGGUUUCAGUGUUCUUGGAAAGGAAUUUUCAGAAUUCUGGGUCUGAAAGAAAUGUCUUAUUGCAACUCCUGCUAACCGAAAUGUAAUCCUAACCAACCUCAUGUGUCAGAUCACACUGUG